UAAUUUCCCUCUCACGUACACCCAUCCCAUCUCCCGCUCCCUCUCCCAUUCCAUUCACAUCAAGAUUCAUUUUCAAUUAUCUUUAUAUACAGAAGAUCGAUUCAGUAUAUAGUAAGUAAAGAUUUCAUCGGUUUGCACCCACACAGAAAUACAAAGUGUAAAAUACUGUUUCAGCAGUAGUUAUAGCAUUAUUUCACAUUGGACAACACAUUAAGGACAGAUCCCACAUGAGAAGUGAGGACACAGUGACUCCUGUUGUGGACUUAACAAUUUGACACUCUUGUUUAUGGCAUCAGUAAUCUCCCUAGGCUCUAGUCAUAAGUUGCCAAGGCUCUGGAAGCCUUUUGAGUUCGCUGACUUCAAUCUUAUUCCGACAGGGUCAUAGUCAAAGUGGAAGUUUUCUCCUCCCUUCAGUGAAAGGUAUGUCCUUCUUUGAUGGCCCGUUCUUUCUACUGGGAUCUCACUCGCGGAGAUCUUUCAUUUAGCUCCUCUUUUCUUUUCUUUUCUUUUCUUUUCUUUUCUUUUCUUUCUUUUUUUUUUUUGCCAGAGUGUCUUGGCUUUCCAUGCCUAAAAUACUCUCAUGGGCUCUUCAGCCAUAUCCAAAUGUCUUAAGGGCUGAUUCUGAGGCCAGAGUGCUGUUUAGGACAUCUGCCAUUCCAUGAGUCUGCUGUGUAUCCUGCUUCCCAUGGUGGAUCAUUCUCUCCCUUUUUUAUUCUAUCAGUUAGUAUUAGCAGGCACUAAUCUUGUUUGUGUGAUCCCUUUGACUCUUAGACCUAUCAGUGUGAUCAAUUGUGAAGUGAAAUUGAUCACUUGGACUAGUGAGAUGGCAGUGGUACAUGCCACCUUGUUGGGAUUGUAUUGGGAUCCCCUGGCACGUUUCUAACUCCACCAUUUGGGGUAAGUCCGAUUGAGCAUGUCCCGAAUUUUACAUCUCCUCCCUCUCUUAUUCCCACUCUUAUAUUUAACAGGGAUCACUUUUCAGUUAAAAUUUAAACACGUAAGAAUAAUUGUGUGUUAAUUACAGAGUUCAACCAAUAGUACUAGAACAAAACAAAAAAAUACUAAAAUGGAUAAAGUAUUACAUUGUACAUCAACAGUCAGGACAAGAGCUGAUCAAGUCACUGUUUCUGCUAGAUUUCCUUUCUUGAAAUAUGCCUGUGGAAGCCCCUUGCCCAUUUCUUGAGUGGGUGGUUUGUUUUGCUGUAGUUGAAUUUUUUGAAAGUUUCUUGUAGUUUAGUUUAUCCUUUAUCAGUUGCAUACUUUGCAUAUAAUUUCUCCCAUUCCGUUAGUUGCCUCUUUACUUGGCUGAGUGUUUUCUUUUGCAGGGCAGAAGCUUCUCCAUUUUUUUUGGUGUCCUCUUCUAUCUUUUUCUUUAAUCUUUUGUGAUUCCCAGAUGUUGAACAUCCUUGGUUAAAUUUAUUCCAAGCUUUUUAUUUUCUUUGUAGCUAUGUGAAUGGGAUUGGUCUUUGAAGUCCUUUCUCAGCCAUGACAUUGUCUGUGUAUAUAAAGACUUGAUUUUUUAUCCUGGCUCAUUACCUAACUCUACUCUGAAUUUCAGUAGUCUCUUAGAGGAGUCUUUUGGAUCUCCUAUAUAUAGAAUUAUGUCAUCUGCAAUUAGGGAUAGUUGGACUUCCUCCCUCCCAAUUUGUACCUACAAUGAGAAAUUAGAGAAGAAGUACCAACAUGAUCGUGUGCAUGUGAAUAGUGACCUCAGAUGCUACCUUUCUGUAUUCUCUCUUGCUUUGUGGGACAUGUGAUUUGGCCUUUUUCCAACAUGAUCCGUACUUUAAAUGCAGGGCUAGACUGUGCAGGGUGGUGUCUGGGAAGUAGACCUGUGUUCCAUGGAGAACUCUGUAGAUCACAGGUGUUUCAAGUCCUUGUGUGAGUGGGUACAUACGUGUCUGAAUAAAUAAAUUACAAAGAUUUCCUCAUGCGUAAGUCAGAGAUAAUGCCACACGGAAUGUUUGUAAGGAAGAAGAGAAUGAAUGGGUACUAGAAUCUUUUCUAAGACUGAUUUAAAUUCUUUUUCAAAUUCUGUGUUAAUUGGGUAUGCAAUACCUAUAGUAUCACUUGUAAAUAAACUCUAGUAGUUGGCCUGUAUUUUAUUUACAGCUAUGUCUUCCUUUUUUAAUUUUUACUUUUUCUUAAAUAUUUAUUUAUUUGAAAUUCAGACAUACACAGAGAGGAUGGGAGGCAGAGAGAGUGAGAGAGAGAAAGAGAGAGACAGACAGACAGACAGAUACAUAGGUUUUCCAUCUGCUGUUCCACUUCCUAUUUGGCUGCAAUGGCCAGAGCAGAGGAGAUCUAAAAGCAGGAGCCCAGAACCUCCUCGUGGUCUCCUUCAUGGGUACAAGGGCACAAGGAGUUGGACCAUCUUCUACUGCCUUCCCAAACCACAGCAGAGAGCCACAUCAGAAGUGCAGCAUCCAGGACUCGAACUGGUGCCUAGAUGGGAUGCGCGAUGUGGGUGGUGGCUAUAGCCACUACCCCACAAUGCCAGGUCCUCCAGAAGCCAUUGCCCAUGGAAUGCUGCUGUCUGCUAACAUUCCUGGGAAAGCAGAGGGAGAAGGCCCAAGGUCUUAGGACCCUGAACCCAGAAUUGAGCACCGGAUAAAGUCCCUGGCUUCUGCUUUGGCCUGGCUGAGCCUUGGCCUUUGUAGUCACCUGGGGGGUGAACCCCCAGAUGGAUGAUCACUCAGAGUGAGAAAGAGUGCUCACGAUGCUGCUUGCACUGCUGCUCUUCCCAAGCAGCAGCAAGGGCCAGCGCUGGUCCAGGCAGAAACCAGGAGGCAGGAGCUCCAUUCAGGACUCCCACUAGACAGGGUGACUGGGUCCAGAGUGCCUGGGCCGUAAGUGGCUGCCGCCCUGGGUCACAGCCUGAUGAGGCAGGAAUGGAAGUGGUCCUGGGGCAUCAGGGCAUAGCUGCAUCCCUUGGUGCCCUGUCGGUCACCGGUGAGGAGUGUGCCUGAGCCCAGCACUGUGACCCAGAAGUGCACCCGCAGGUGCAUCUGUUUCUUCUGCACGGUGCUCUGGUGGGAGUCAGCGUCGUGUCUGCCCCAGCUCAGAGCUUAUGCAAGCCCUGAGUUGCUGAUUUCGAUGCUGGUGGCUGAGCCUGAGGAGAUACAGUGCCUCUCCCCCCCACCCCCCCAGGGUCAAGCCAGGAUUAGGUGAAACUGUGGUGAGGUAGCCACUCAGUUAUCUUGUGCUUCUGGAACUUUCUAGGCACAGUCCUCUUCUUUGGCCCCUCUGAAAGACUACACCUCAGGUCUGGAUUCCUGUGUCAGAGGAACAGAAAUGCUCUUUCUGUGUAGAGUUUGGCAUGGUGGCCUUCCUGUCACUGGGCUGCACACACGAAGGAGAAAGCAGAAGCUUAGAGAAAUGCCAAGAAUCCCUCUGUGCUGUGUUCCAGGCUGUCCCAAGAUUCUGACACCUCAUAUUCUUCAUUGGAACAUGUGCUAAGCCCUGGCCCUAAGAACAAGGAGGUGAGCAGCCAAGAGCAAUACCUGCAGGGAGGGCCAGGAUGCUGGUGUCGGAGGAGUGGCAAUGGAUUCAACAGGACCCUCACGUUUGUCCAUCCUUGCCUGGCUCCACAGCGGCCUCGAGGUCUUGCAGCAGGAUGUCAUAGAAACUGCUUCAUACUUCUGCUGUGAGAAUACGACACUCAGGAGGAGGGAGCGUGUGGAGCUCUUUGGAAUCACAGUGCUCUGCCUGAGGAACGGGGUGUCUGUCCCUGGCGGUGGAGCCAUGAAAUCAAGGCUGCUUUGCACCAAGUGCCGGGAGAGCCGUCUUCUCAUCCCCAUCAGACACAGACGUUUCUGUUGAGGAGAAGCAUCUGCUCUUCAUGUCAGUUCCGCACCUGGACCAGGCCUCAGCCCUGUUUUCUUCAGGACCUCUCAGGUUGAUGGGUGAGGAGACCCGUGGGAGGAGGACUUAGAAGUCCGGAGGCUGAGUGCCUUCUAGUUGUGCACAGAAACACACUGUGCGUGUCUUCCUUAAUUGCAGAGUGUUCCUGAUGUCAUGGGCACGUAGGAACCAGAGAGGAACCUCUGCCCUGGACCUCUCUCUGCUGGAUCUCAGCUGCCUCAUGUUUCCUGGUGCUGUUUUUUUUUUUUUUUCUUUAAGAGUUUAUUCAAGUCAGAGGUAUCUGCAUUUAUAGCUUCUUCCUGAUAAUUCUUUCCUCUCCUGAUGGAGUUUCAUUUCUCCUGUGUUUCAGGAGAUGCCUGGGGUGGGGUGGUGUCCCCCAUUGGAUUCUAGUCUGAGGGAGUCUUCCAUGAUGGAAGUAGAUCUGUGUGUGAAAUGGAUACAUGAGUGAGUGUUGAGGGAGACGUUGGUUAACAGAUGGACAUUGCAGCCAUCCGGCACAGUGGGAUGCCUGCAUCCCACACUGGAGUUUCUGGUUUGAGUUCAGGCUCCUCUUCUUCUGACCCAGCUUCCUGUGAAUGCGCUCCAUGGGUCCCUGCCACUCAUGCGGAGACCGGGUUUGAGCUUUGGGCUUCUAGCUUUGGCCGAGCACCGCCUUGGCUGAGUCACACCCGGAGCAGAAGAAGCUGACUGAAGCGGGCCUGGGGCAUCAGAAGGACGCUGGAUGCGGCAGGGUGCAGAUGUGUCCCGUGGCGCCAUGGCGACGGCCAGUGGGGACUGCGCCUGCGUCCUGCACUUUGACCCGGAAGUGCACACGCACGCAUGCAUACCCCGACUGCCCCGCCAGCGUUCUUGUGGGAGUCAGCACCGCGUCCGCUGCUGCCCAAGAGCCUGCACAAGCUGUGAGGAGCCGUGCUCGACGCUGCUGGCCAAGACUGAGGGAGACCCAGCGGCCCCAAGGUCAGGCCAGGAUCAGGAGAGGCUGCAUGACUGAGGCUGCAGCACUAUUUCCCAGGCGCGGUUGUCUUCUUCAGCCCCUUCCGGAAGCAACGGCCUUGGCAGACCUCUAUCCCGCCAGCAGACCGGGCCCCCUUGGAGGUGGGCAAGUGGGAGAACCAGACCCUGAGCCCAAGGCCCACGGUGUGGCCCUGGUACAAGUCCUUCUCUGACUGUGAGCUGGAUCACAACCACCUGAGCAUCGUCACCCUGGAGGAGGCCCCCUUCGUCAUCGUGGAAGACAUCAACCCGCUGACUGAGGCCUGUGUGCGGAACACGGUGCCGUGUCGGAAGUUCAUCAAAAUCAACUUCUUGGUGUCCAGCAUUGCAGCAUUCUUCCUCGGAUGCUGUGUAGAGCCCCGGUGCUGGACUUGGAACAAGGAGGUGAGCUCCAUGAUGAGCAACACCUGCAGGAAGGCUGGGCCGCUGGUGUCUGAGGAGUGGUAGUGGAUUCACUGGGCCUCUGACUCAGGUUCAUCCAUCCUCGCCUGAAUGUGGUGAAUUAAGUCUGUGUUCCUACUGGUCAGCAGUAACUAGUGUUGUCCUUGAAGAGUCAUUCCUCCAGCUUCAUUUCGCUUGGGAUUGCUAUUGUGGUGACUCCUCCCCAUCCUCCAGGUCUCAGCUCAAGGGCUGGCUCUGAGGAGGCCACCUGUGACCCCACUCCAGGCACAUCGCUGUGGCUGCUGGAGAGGAGGUGUCCACUGGCCUGAGCUGGGCGUGAGGUUCCCCCGUAGCACUUGACCCCCAGGCCCCAUGGCAACUGCAGAGACUCCCACUCCUGGGGUACACAGUGUGGGUGAACAUGAGCGGUGAGUGCGUGCUGGGCACGGGGAGGGUCCUGGAGCACCUGGGCAGGUGUGGCUCUGUCAGGCCCAAGCCUCACCUUUCAGGGUUGCCCGGUUUUCUGCUUGGGCACCAACGCCACUGGGCCAUCUGGAGUUGGGACUCUGAAGGCAGGAAUGUGGCAACUCUUGCCAGUUCCUGCAGUUCCUUCUCUGAGCAAAAAGUAGCAGAGAUACGGGCUGAGUGCCCCAUGUGUCGGUGCAGCACGCGGGCAGGUGCAAUAGGCACCUGGGCUGUGCUGGCUGGCACAGGUGCUUCUCUGCCGCACUUGAUCUUGUGGUGGUUAUGGUGAUUAGGAAAGUGGGUUCUUUACAGACCCCAGGGAGGUGACAUUUCUCAUGAUGGCAUGCCCCUGCGGGAAGAGUUGGAACCAUGCACAGGAGAAAAUAGUGACUGCUAACUAACCAGCCAGGGGGUCACGGCUGUGCUGGGUGAGUGAGGAGUCCUGGGCCAACCCACACAGCACCUGAAGGCAGAAGUGCUUUGUUCAUCACCAUGUUACUUCACUGCUUUCUCUCACUGAGUUACAGCCACUGUUAUCUCUGAUUUGUCAUUUGUCUUUGUGAACCCUCCCACCUCUCCAUGAUAUGGUCGUCUUGGAAUUCGUUUUGGAAAUGAAGGGCAGGUCUACCUCUCUGGUUCCCCCUUGGUGAAUGCCACAGGCAGUCACUUUUUCACAGUGGGGCUUUUGCUCCAUACACGUUAUUCUCAUUUUCACAUGCAGAAGUUGGGGCUCAGAGAGGCUGAGUGACUUGCCCCUGGUGACACAGCAUGAUGCUGCCUGUGUUGCAUAAUCAGGGAGUGAGUCCUUGUGAGCAGAGAAGUGAGGCUGAUGGGGCAGAAUGAGUCCCAAGGCACCAGCAGGAGUGUCCUCAUGGGACCUCUCUGAAUCUGACCUUAUGCAGCUUCCUCUUCUGCCCCAUCCAUGCUGGCCUCUCAGUUCCGUGACGGUGCCAAGUUCUCUUCCACCUCGGGACACUUACAUUGCUUUUCUUUCUUGAUUGUUUCUGUCCUUGAACUUCUGACAUGAAACUGAGGAACACACCACAUUUCCCGGUGGUUGAGAGUUUGUUAGCUGGGGGAGUUGUUCGUGGAAGGAUGAGUUUCCAAGCCUCAUGUUCCUCUUCUGUUAAAAUGGAAUCCUCUCUGAAGAUGAUCUAUUUUAUCAUCUUAAAAAGGUAAGUUUUGGUUUGCUGAUCUAG